GACCGCGUAUGAAAGUACGUUUCACCCUCGGGUGACAGGGAGACAGGUGGUGCAUGGUUGUCGUCAGCUCGUGUCGUGAGAUGUUGGGUUAAGUCCCGCAACGAGCGCAACCCCUACGUUUAGUUGCUAACGCGUGAAGGCGAGCACUCUAGACGAACUGCCGUUGACAAAACGGAGGAAGAUGGGAUGACGUCAAAUCAUCAUGCCCCUUAUGUUCUGGGCUACACACGUGCUACAAUGGCCGGUACAGACGGACGCAAAGCCGCGAGGUGGAGCAAAUCCUAAAAAGCCGGUCUCAGUUCGGAUUGCAGGCUGCAAUUCGCCUGCAUGAAGUCGGAAUCGCUAGUAAUCGCAGGUCAGCAUACUGCGGUGAAUACGUUCCCGGGCCUU
rnacentral:rRNA from 1 species